UGUUGUUCCUGUUGUUGUUAUUCAGUGAAGUUUAAUUAGGCAUGUUCUUUAUAUGUCUUUUACUGCUGCUCAGACUGUAGUUCUUUUCUGAUCAUUAAAAGUCAUUUUCAUACGGUGAAAGGUCCAGUGCUGACUCAGCUCUUACAGAGUACAUAUGAGUCCAUAAGUAUACUAUAAGAGUUGAUUUUACACUGAACAUUUCACUGUGUAUGCUUGUGUAAUACCAGAUCAGUAAAUGGCUCUGGUUGCCUGCGUGUGAAAUUCCCACUCCAAUGAGAAUUGCUUCUUGGUCUCAUUUACAUACAAGAUCAAAUUUUGUACCUUUACUAGCUUAUGACAAAACUGCUUAAUUUUAAUACAGAAAACGUUUUUUCAACUGAGCUCAAAACCUAGCAUGGGAAUUGGCACAAGACUGUAGGUUUGUGUAUUUUUCUCAAUCUGGCAACCUGAUUCUCCACCUUAAGGACACACACGUUUACGCUUAUUAUCGUUGGACGAAUUUAGAGUAAUACAUAUACGUUAAAUGAUUCCAAACGUAUCAGUAUGUUCUGUUUGUCUAUAAAGUUAAUACAGGGACGUGUGAAUGUACGUGUGUUUUGCAGGUACAGGUGAAGCCCUGAUUACAGUCAAUGGUAUCGUUAAUGAGUCUGUCACUUUGCCCUCCGGAUCUCCGUACAACAGUCCCACGGAGGUCCAGUGGAGGAUUGACGAUAGUGUAAUCGCCUUUUAUUUGAAGCCGAGCCUUCUGACAACAGACCCUAAGAGAUUUGGGGACAGGUUACGCCUGAACACGAAAGACGGUUCUCUUCUAAUCAACCGGGCACAGAUGGGCGAUGCGGACACGUACACCGUGGCAGUCUCUCAAGGCAAAAGCAAACACAACGCUGUAGUCAAGCUGAUGAUCUAUGAACGGGCAGACAGGCCUAUACUGGAGGUUCUGACCAACACGUCAAGGCCUUGGUUAUGCAAUGUGUCUGUGAGGUGCGUUACCCUCCACGGCCACUGGGUGGCGUCGCUCUGUCAGUUUACACCGGGCAAGCUCAUGUGCCAGGAGACAGCCAGGAAUGACUCCACCAACUCAACGCGGUUACUGAUCACGGCAACCAGAGACGCCAUCAACUGUAGCAGCAGCAGCCCCGCCAGCACAAGCUCCGCCCCCCUGCUUCCUGUUACACAGGUCUGCUCCGCCCCUGUGCCGGGUCCAGUUCCUCCAGUAACACCAUCUCCUGGCCAAUCUCUGUGUGUGCUAAAGUCAGUGCUGUUCUCCCUGGGUCUGGUUGCCAUGGUUUCGGCCAUCAUCGCAGUUAAUGUCAGAGAGAGGUGCUGCAGAGAUCAAUGGGGACUCAGAAAGGAGGAUGAAUCUGUCAGAGUGAUGGAGGAAAUUCCUACCUGAAAUAGCUGUGUGUGUGUGUGUGUGUGUGUGUGUGUAUGUGUGUGUGUGUGCAUGUGUGCAUGUGUGCGAGUGUGAGUGUGUACGUGUGUGCAUGUGUGUGUGUGUGUGUGCGUGUGUGUGUACGUGUGUGCAUGUGCACGAGUGUGAGUGUGGAACAGCCCCUGCUGCGACACUACACUACGCUAACGCAACCUGACAACCGAGGCCAAAGACCUGUUCACUGCCAAAUGCUCUACCAGGCAGCGCCCUCCAUCCAGAAUCUGGAGAGAUCUGGUGUCACACGUGCGCUGAGAGCGGGAGGUUUGAUUUGACGGCUCUGAGCUGCGGGGGCCCGCAUCUCUGACCGUCGCGAGUUGAAGUGUUGAGGCGGCGUUGGGAUCAGCUCGGCCCGAGGCGUGUGGGCGUGGUGCAUCUGAUGUCCAUCAGGCACUGACGGCUCGCUCUCUGGAGCCGAGACGCAGGAGAUCGCGCUUCCUCCUUUUUUUCGCACUUUGCCGCAGAAAGGGUAUUUAGAAAUAAACUGUUGCCUUCUGUCUACAGUCUGACCAACAUGCAGACCGCUGAGCUCAGAAGCCACAGGAAGUGAUCUGCGCACUGAACAGCAAACACUCACUGACACAGCUGCCUCAGUUCAAAUAGAAUCUUCCUCUCUCUCUCUCUCUCUUUCUCUCUCUCUCUCUCUUUCUCUCUCUCUUUCUCUCUCUCUCUCUCUCUCUCUCUCUCUUUCUCUCCCUCACAGACACACACAAACUCAGACCUACUCGUUCACACCAGAGACUAAGUUCACACACACAUACAUACAUAACAAACAGACCGACGCUGACACACACAGACACACACACACAAACGCACCUGCACACAAACAAACACACACACACACGCACACUCUCUGGCGUGUACACACACAAACGCGCAUGCACACACACACACACACUGUUGCAGCGAAAGGAAGCAGUUUGUCAGUGUGUGAUAAAGAAUCCCUGUGUCAUUUCUGAGGAGCUGGUUUUGCAUCAUGUCCUCUGCAGUGCUGACUGCUCUUCUAGUGCUGCAGGUGUCCAGUGUGUACGGGACUUCACUAGUGCUGAAUGGAGCCGUGGGGGAGUCCAUUGUGCUGCCCACGGAUAAGGAAGGACUAAUCAGAGGACCAAGCUUCAUGGAGUGGUUAAAGAACAAGGUUACUGUCAUCAAAUUAGUGAGCAAGCAGGGCAGCUCAUCUUUUGAAACCCUGGAGACAAAUGCAGCUUUUGAAGGGAGGCUGAUUGUGAAUUAUGAAACCGGGGCCCUGAACAUUAGUUCUCUGAGAGAAGAGGAUUCUGGGGAAUAUCUCUUUAAAGGUAUCCGAACAUCUGUGUCCCUUGAGCCGAAAAAGAUACAACUACACAUUUAUGAGAGGAUUGUUUCAGUGCAGGUAACCUCCCAGGUGAAUAACAGCACAGACGGCAGCAGCUGUAAUGCGACCCUGAGUUGCAGUGUGAUUGGUGGCAGCCAGGUGGUGCUGUCCUGGAGCAGAAAUGGAAAGACAAUUGCCAGAGCGGAGAACAGAACUACGCUGACGAUAUCCCUCACCCGUGCAGAAGAGGACUACACCUGUACGGCCAUUAACCCCGUCAGCUCACUAAGCAAAACAGCCAGGCCCUGCCAAACAGAUUCUCCUGGCCUCUCGCUGUGUGCGCUAAAGUCAGUGCUGUUCUCCCUGGGUCUGGUUGCCAUGGUUUCGGCUGUCAUCGCAGUUAAUGCCAGAGAGAGGUGCUGCAGAGAUCAAGGAGGAUGAAUCUGUCAGAGUGGUGGAGAGAAUUCCUACCUGAAAUAGUUGUGUGUGUGUGUGUGUGUGUGUGUACGUGUGUGCAUGUGUGCGAGUGUGAGAGUGAGUGAGUGUGUGUGUGUGUGUGCAUGCGCAUGCCUGUGUGCGUGUAAGUGCGUGUAAGUUCUUCAAGACUGAAAAAUCUAUGAAACAGGAAGAGGUGUGGCCUGACUGGUAUCUGAUCAGGCGGAAGCUUUUUCAUUAAGGAUGACAGAUUAAAACCGAUGAACUGAAAUUAAAUUACAAAGCAAGAUUUAAAACAAUGGCAUUGAAUUCAAGUUUUUCAUUUGAAGGGAUGUGUUGUCAGUUUCUCAGAAACUUCUCUAUCAUUAUAUUAUGUUAUGUCAUGUUAUUUGGGGUCAUCCAUGUCUUCUGGUGGAAAAUUUGAACAAAACAAUGCAUCAUUUAAAUUGUGCAUGACAUCUUUCGGCAGUGGGUGAAGUAGAAAAAACAAGUGCCUAUACAGGAUAAGAGCUAAACUUCCCAUUUUUGAGCAAAGAAAACGUGGAAAAGACAGGUUCCCUUGCAGCCACCAUUGUUUACAGAAAUAUACCGUCAUUUCAACGAGUCACUUAACAACAGUUGCUUGCCAUUCAGUUCGUGAGUCGCUGAUACGCUCAGAAUUCUAAAUUCAGUAAAUGUAUCGGGAGGCAGAAUUCCAAUCUCCUAACCAGCGCGACAAGAGUUUUCCUUUAUUCUGCUAGUGAAAAUUAGCACAUACAAAUCGGCAGCCUAAAACUAAGAGUCUUAUCGUGGUAAAUAACUGUAGCGUACAUACGUAAAUCCAUCACUAAGUACGCAAUAAGUAGUAAUUGUGCGCAUAUAGGCAAAAAUCAACAGUAUCGGUAUGGAGUACCGUCCUUAUUUAAGCAGUAUUUAUCUGCCGCUCACAGCUCUCUCGUGUCGUUCUGACAGAUGAUUUGCUUUGGUUCGUUUUUUCGUUUUUGGUCUCCGCCGUUUUUAAAAAUGAUAAUUCUGUAUGCAGUCCAAUUAUUGUUUGCUGUACGGACAAAUACCUCCACUUCCUGUUUCCCUCACAAGCAGAAGAGUGAAAGGCCACUCAAUGCGGAUGUGGACUCUUAUUUCUUACAAAUAAAUAUACUAAUUUAUGGAC